UUCCUUUUCCUUUCCUUCUUUCCAAGUCUGUCUUGCUCUGGAAAACACAGCUGCCAGGCAUUCACCUACCUGUUCAUUUCCCUCCAGAGUAAUGCUUUUUAAGCAACAUAGCUGAACAAGCUUAAUAGAGGGGUAAAAAAAAAACUCUUAAAGCUUUUAAAUUCCUACAGGUUUCAUGAAAAGUGGAGCUU